rnacentral:sRNA from 1 species
UUUUUUGGCCAGGAAACUGAAAUCUUUCAUUUAUCCACAGGGUAGGUCUACAGUGCAGGAAGCAUCAGUAUAAACUUCCCCACAUUGCCCUACCAAUGUAUUUCAAUCAUGACUGGAGGAAACCACCUCUGGGGGUGAAUGUUCUCCAUGCCCAUUCAGUACUUGCCUUCU